rnacentral:rRNA from 1 species
AAUCAACGCUGGCGGCGUGCCUAACACAUGCAAGUCGCACGAGAAAGGGGAGCAAUCCCUGAGUAAAGUGGCGCACGGGUGAGUAACACGUGAAUCAUCUACCUCCGAGUGGGGAAUAACUGAGAGAAAUCUUAGCUAAUACCGCAUAACACUUACGAGUCAAAGCAGCAAUGCGCUUGGAGAGGAGUUCGCGGCCGAUUAGUUAGUUGGCGGGGUAANGGCCCACCAAGACGAUGAUCGGUAUCCGGCCUGAGAGGGCGCACGGACACACUGGAACUGAAACACGGUCCAGACUCCUACGGGAGGCAGCAGUGGGGAAUUUUGCGCAAUGGGGGAAACCCUGACGCUAGCAACGCCGCGUGGAGGAUGAAGUAUC